UUAGAAGUUCUUCCCAGUCUGUGGACCCCAUAUCUGCUUAGCAGUCCUUCUUCCCAGAACAGCAUCCCGUGGUAAAGGAAGCUGAAGCUCUCCUGGUGACACCAUCCUCUCAGCCAGGCAUUCACCUCCAGGAUGAAUCUGUCUCUGAUGCAUUCACCUCAGGCAUUCACCUCAGGAU